rnacentral:tRNA from 1 species
CGGGGUGUAGCGCAGCCGGGUAGCGCGCCACGUUCGGGACGUGGAGGCCGGAGGUUCGAGUCCUCUCACCCCGACCA